CACAUUUAUUUGUGCUUUUUCAUUUGCUCUUCAUCCAUACGCUUCGCACCGUCUUCGCACACAUGUACAUAUAUAUAUAUGUAGUCAGUGCUUUUUCAUGAUGGCUGUUCUAUUUUUGUAAAGUUCAUUUUGUGUUCGCCAUUUCUUCACCGCCACCGAUCCAGCGGAACCCGCUCCGCCCAGCCGCAGUCCGCUAUAUUCUGCUUGUCCAUUUGGUACAGAAUUAAUCAUUUUGUUGUUAACGCAAGUAACUAACGCUCACGCAUACAUACAUGCAAACAUAUAUAUGUAUCUACAUCAGUAUAUAUGUAUAUGUAAUUGUCAUAGAACUUUUAGCAAAAAUUUAUGCGCUUUUCUGCUAUCUUUGUUUUCGUAUCGGCGCUUACAUGCAUGUAAGAAAUUUAUGUAAAUGUUCUUUACGACCUCUUCUUCGCCAAAUCGUUUUCAGCAUUCAACGGCUUAAUUUAUGAUUAUUUUAUUUAGUUCUUAGAACUUUUAUUGUUUUUUAUUUUUGUUUUUUGGUUUUGCACAAAUCGUGCUUGGUAAUGGGAGGCAGCUACGCCAUCUUGGUAGGCUCUGACUGGUUUUUGCAUACUGAGCCGGAGGCAAGGCGUGGUGAGUGACUUUUUGCAAAACUUCACAAGCUCUUACACAUACACACAGAUACAUAUGUAUACCGAUGUACGCCAGCAAAAUUAGAAUUAAAUACAUGACGAGUAACAAAACUUGGGGCACACGUGGAGCUGGCUGACCGGUCGCACGGCGACAACUUAUUAGACACACAGUUCUUCACAUAUGUAUAUAUCGUUUGUCUCUAAGGCCGGGAACCGCUUGUAUUCCAGUAAAUAUAUACAUUUUAUGCAGAAACCAUAAAGAGUUGGCACGCAAGAUGACAAAUUUGCAGAAAAAAUCCGAAACAGGUACUCAAUAAGGCAAAUCAAAAAUUGAUGUUAAAUAGCUCACACUUCUAAGUCAAUUUGUAGCAUUAAUUUAAGAAUGUGAACUAAAUUCCGUUGGAAAGUAUGCACAUUUUGGAACAGCUUUGGAGGCAUCGACAUAAUUUUUAGCGUUUAAUUCGGAGUACUUUU